rnacentral:misc_RNA from 1 species
UUAAGUUCAGCGGGUAUCCCUACCUGAUCCGAGGUCAACCAUAGAAAAUUGGGGGUUGCUGGCCAGCGUCCACCGGGACCCAACAGCGAGAAGAAUUACUACGCUGAGAGCACGAUGCGCCGCCACUAAUUUUGGGGCCAGCCGUUGCCGGCACGGCCCAUAACCAAGCAUAGCUUGAGGGUUGUAAUGACGCUCGAACA